GACGAACGCUGGCGGCGUGCCUAACUCAUGCAAGUCGAACGGGGCUAGGAAAGCUUGCUUUCCGAAGCCUAGUGGCGGACGGGUGAGUAACGCGUGAGUAACCUGCCUUUCAGAGGGGAAUAACGUUCUGAAAAGAACGCUAAUACCGCAUAACGUACAGUUACCGCAUGGUAGCAGUACCAAAGGAGCAAUCCGCUGAGAGAUGGACUCGCGUCCGAUUAGCUAGUUGGUGGGGUAAAGGCCUACCAAGGCGACGAUCGGUAGCCGGACUGAGAGGUUGAACGGCCACAUUGGGACUGAGACACGGCCCAGACUCCUACGGGAGGCAGCAGUGGGGGAUAUUGCACAAUGGGGGAAACCCUGAUGCAGCAACGCCGCGUGUGGGAAGAAGGUUUUCGGAUUGUAAACCACUGUUCUUGGUGAAGAUAAUGACGGUAACCAAGGAGAAAGCUCCGGCUAACUACGUGCCAGCAGCCGCGGUAAUACGUAGGGAGCAAGCGUUGUCCGGAUUUACUGGGUGUAAAGGGUGCGUAGGCGGCUAGGCAAGUCAGACGUGAAAACCAUGGGCUCAACCUGUGGACUGCGUUUGAAACUGUUUAGCUUGAGUGAAGUAGAGGUAGGCGGAAUUCCCGGUGUAGCGGUGAAAUGCGUAGAGAUCGGGAGGAACACCAGUGGCGAAGGCGGCCUACUGGGCUUUAACUGACGCUGAGGCACGAAAGCAUGGGUAGCAAACAGG
rnacentral:rRNA from 1 species